rnacentral:rRNA from 1 species
UACGAGGGGGGCAAGCGUUGUUCGGAAUUAUUGGGCGUAAAGGGCGCGUAGGCGGUUUGGCAAGUUUGGUGUGAAAUCUUCGGGCUCAACUCGAAGUCUGCACCGAAAACUGCCGGGCUUGAGUAUGGGAGAGGUGAGUGGAAUUUCCGGUGUAGCGGUGAAAUGCGUAGAUAUCGGAAGGAACACCUGUGGCGAAAGCGGCUCACUGGACCAUUACUGACGCUGAGGCACGAAAGCUAGGGGAGCAAACAGG